AGCAAAGGAGAGGACUGUGGCAAAGUUAGCUGAGGAAAGAACCAAGUUGUUUGAUAAGUUUACACAAAUGUUGAGUGCCGACACUACAACAAUGGAGCCAUGGGCAAAGGAGAUGCAUGUGAGGGCUGUCACGAGAUUGGGGGAUCAACUUUUCAAGGAGGGAUAGAAGGUAUGUAGUCCAACUUGUUCGUCUCUCCUUUGUUUAGAUGUUGUGUGUGUUCCGUAAGCUGAUUGAAACCUGCUCAACUUAUCUGCUAACGUUGGUAGUUAAUUGAAGCCAAACCUGAACUUGAGUGCAAAGGUUGGAUGCUAAACCUGUUUUGUCUUUGUUUUUGUAAGUGCAAACCUGAACUUGAGUGCUAAAGUUGGAUGCUAAACCUGAUUGAACUGCUUGCGUGUCGGCCAUUUGGAGAUAAACUAACCGUUGAUAUUCAUUUGUCUUUCAAACCAAACUAUUAUGGAUGCUCUGUAGAUAUGCGCCAUGCUAGAAAUUGUUGAUAUUCAUUUGGAGUUACUACAUUUUGAACUAAACUGUAGAUAUGUAUUUCCUUGACUGAAACCAAACUGUAGAUAUGUAUUUCCUUUGUUUUCCACAUAGUUUGUGCCAUGCUAGUUCUAAAUAUACUCUAACAUGUGUCUUCCUUGUUAUGGAUGUUCUGUAGAUAUGUGUGCAGCAAAGGGGAGCUUCAUGUGCAAGGAAGCAUAGAAGAUGUGAGACUGUUUUGUUUUGAACGAGAAGGGCCAACGGAUACACCAACAAAUUCAGUUUGAACUUUGAAUAAAUAUGAUAUGCGUGUUUACAAAUCUUCUCUUGUGCUUGGAAACCUUAAGAUUGUUCUAUUACUGUGAGAUUUUUUGUGUCAUGGUCAAGAAAUACUUGUUGUUAUAUUUUGGAUAUAAAAAAUUGCUGGUAAGAAUGUUCUAUUGUUGUGGGAUGUUCUCUAUCAUGGUCAAAACAUAAUUGUUG
rnacentral:lncRNA from 1 species